rnacentral:rRNA from 1 species
UCCACGCCGUAAACGAUGUCAACUAGCCGUUGGGCCUAUUUAUAGGCUUAGUGGCGGAGCUAACGUAUUAAGUUGACCGCCUGGGGAGUACGGCCGCAAGGUUAAAACUCAAAUGAAUUGACGGGGGCCCGCACAAGCGGUGGAGCAUGUGGUUUAAUUCGAUGCAACGCGAAGAACCUUACCUACCCUUGACAUCCAGAGAAUCUGUUAGAGAUAGUAGAGUGCCUUCGGGAACUCUGAGACAGGUGCUGCAUGGCUGUCGUCAGCUCGUGUCGUGAGAUGUUGGGUUAAGUCCCG